rnacentral:rRNA from 1 species
GACGAACGCUGGCGGCGUGCUUAACACAUGCAAGUCGAACGGAAAGGCCCUGCUUUUGUGGGGUGCUCGAGUGGCGAACGGGUGAGUAACACGUGAGUAACCUGCCCUUGACUUUGGGAUAACUUCAGGAAACUUGGGCUAAUACCGGAUAGGAGCUCCUGCUGCAUGGUGGGGGUUGGAUAGUUUCGGCGGUUGGGGAUGGACUCGCGGCUUAUCAGCUUGUUGGUGGGGUAGUGGCUUACCAAGGCUUUGACGGGUAGCCGGCCUGAGAGGGUGACCGGCCACAUUGGGACUGAGAUACGGCCCAGACUCCUACGGGAGGCAGCAGUGGGGAAUAUUGCACAAUGGGCGGAAGCCUGAUGCAGCAACGCCGCGUGCGGGAUGACGGCCUUCGGGUUGUAAACCGCUUUCGCCUGUGACGAAGCGUGAGUGACGGUAAUGGGUAAAGAAGCACCGGCUAACUACGUG